rnacentral:tRNA from 1 species
CGGCCAGAGGCGUAGCGGUGUAACAUAUCUCCGCACCAAGGAGAUGGUCGCGGGUUCAAAUCCCGCCUGGUGGG